AAUUCGGCCCUUUUCAGGGCCACCCCAAAUUUAUCACGAAAGAGUU
rfam:Culex pipiens quinquefasciatus supercont3.273 genomic scaffold, whole genome shotgun sequence.